AUACGGAGGGUGCAAGCGUUAAUCGGAAUUACUGGGCGUAAAGCGUACGUAGGCGGUUAUUUAAGUCAGAUGUGAAAGCCCCGGGCUUAACUUGGGAACUGCAUUUGAAACUGGGUAACUAGAGUUUAGUAGAGGGGAGUGGAAUUUCAGGUGUAGCGGUGAAAUGCGUAGAGAUCUGAAGGAACACCAGUGGCGAAGGCGACUCCCUGGACUAAAACUGACGCUGAGGUACGAAAGCGUGGGUAGCAAACAGGAUUAGAAACCCCAGUAGUCC
rnacentral:rRNA from 1 species